rnacentral:rRNA from 1 species
UAUACGAUGAAGAGUUUGAUCCUGGCUCAGGAUGAACGCUAGCGGCAGGCCUAACACAUGCAAGUCGAGGGGUAGAAGAAGCUUGCUUUUUUGAGACCGGCGCACGGGUGAGUAACGCGUAUGCAACCUACCUUAUACAGGGGAAUAGCCCGAAGAAAUUCGGAUUAAUGCUCCAUGGUUUAUCGAUAUGGCAUCGUAUUGAUAAUAAAGAUUUAUCGGUAUAAGAUGGGCAUGCGUAUCAUUAGCUAGUUGGUGUGGUAACGGCAUACCAAGGCAACGAUGAUUAGGGGUCCUGAGAGGGAGAUCCCCCACACUGGUACUGAGACACGGACCAGACUCCUACGGGAGGCAGCAGUGAGGAAUAUUGGUCAAUGGAGGCAACUCUGAACCAGCCAUGCCGCGUGCAGGAUGACGGUCCUAUGGAUUGUAAACUGCUUUUGUACAGGAAGAAACCUCCCUACGAGUAGGGACUUGACGGUACUGUAAGAAUAAGGAUCGGCUAACUCCGUGCCAGCAGCCGCGGUAAUACGGAGGAUCCGAGCGUUAUCCGGAAUUAUUGGGUUUAAAGGGUUCGUAGGCGG